rnacentral:rRNA from 1 species
CUGCCCUACGGGGGGCUGCAGUGGGGAAUUUUUGGCAAUGGGGGCAACCCUGACCAAGCAACGCCGCGUGGGUGAUGAAGUCUCUUGGGACGUAAAACCCUUUCGACGGGGACGAAACCGCAAGGUUGACGGUACCCGUAGAAGAAGCCCCGGCUAACUCCGUGCCAGCAGCCGCGGUAAUACGGGGGGGGCAAGCGUUGUUCGGAAUUACUGGGCGUAAAGGGCGCGUAGGCGGUUUGCUAAGUCGGAUGUGAAAACUCUGGGCUCAACCCAGAGCCUGCAUCCGAAACUGGCAGGCUAGAGUUCUGGAGGGGGUAGCGGAAUUCCUGGUGUAGCGGUGAAAUGCGUAGAUAUCAGGAGGAACACCGGUGGCGAAGGCGGCUACCUGGACAGAAACUGACGCUGAGGCGCGAAAGCUAGGGGAGCAAACAGGAUUAGAUACCCGUAGUC